rnacentral:rRNA from 1 species
CGCGUAGGUGGUUGUGUAAGUCGGAUGUGAAAUCCCCAGGCUUAACUUGGGAACUGCAUCUGAUACUGCAUGACUAGAGUGCAGCAGAGGGAAACGGAAUUCCUGGUGUAGAGGUGAAAUUCGUAGAUAUCAGGAGGAACACCGGUGGCGAAGGCGGUUUCCUGGGCUGACACUGACACUGAGGCGCGAAAGCGUGGGUAGCAAACAGGAUUAGAUACCCUGGUAGUCCACGCUGUAAACGGUGAGUGCUGGGUGUGGGAGGUGUAAUGCCUUCUGUGCCGAAGCUAACGCGUUAAGCACUCCGCCUGGGGAGUACGGCCGCAAGGUUGAA